UACGGGGGGAGCAAGCGUUGUUCGGAUUUACUGGGCGUAAAGGGCGCGUAGGCGGUCAGCACAAGUCAGUUGUGAAAUCUCCGGGCUUAACUCGGAAAGGUCAACUGAUACUGUGCGACUAGAGUGCGGAAGGGGCAACUGGAAUUCUCGGUGUAGCGGUGAAAUGCGUAGAUAUCAAGAGGAACACCUGAGGUGAAGACGGGUUGCUGGGCCGACACUGACGCUGACAGCGCGAAAGCCAGGGGAGCAAACGGG
rnacentral:rRNA from 1 species